AUGAAAUGAUGAAAUACGAUAUCCAACUCUGAAUCUGCUGAUGCUACACAAUCGAGCUUUUUAACACUGAAAACUUU